GCAGAACGCUCGGUUACUUGCAGAGCGUAUAGAUCUCCUGGAAUCGGUGUGAGAUGAAGGCCGCUAUUCUACUGUGUGUUGCUUUGCUGAAUGCGUAUCAGGCUGAAGCACGGUCCACGAUGAAGUGUCCACGGAUGUGGCCAUCGACUCAAACACGAUGUACAUACCGAUGCAAGUUCCCGGCUACUUACAGAGAAAAGGAAGACGACGGAUAUCCGUGCCUGACGAGACGUUUCAGUCGAGGGAAGUGUCUUGACGGGAGGUGCUUGUCGAGUGCAGCAUUUGAGGCAGCGACGGCAACAACAACAACAGCAGCAGCAGCAACAACAACAACAACAGCAACA